rnacentral:rRNA from 1 species
GAUGAACGCUGGCGGCGUGCCUAACACAUGCAAGUCGAGCGAACGGACGAGAAGCUUGCUUUUCUCUUGUUAGCGGCGGACGGGUGAGUAACACGUGGAUAACCUACCUAUAAGACUGGGAUAACUUCGGGAAACCGGCGCUAAUACCGGAUAAUAUUUUGAUCUGCAUGGUUAAAAAGUGAAAGACGGUCUUGCUGUCCCUUAUAGAUGGAUCCCCGCUGCAUUAUCUAGUUGGUAAGUUAAAGGCUUACCAAGGCAACGAUGCCUAGCCGACGUGAGAGGGUGAUAGAGCACCUUGGAAGUGGCCCUCGCUCCAGACUACUGCGGGACGCUACAGUCAGGAACCGUCAGCAGUGGGCGCAAACCUGACACAGCAACGGGGCGUGAGUGAUGAGGGUGCUCGGAUCGUAAAACUCUCUUAGCAGGGAAGACCAUAUGUCUACGUAACUGUGCACAUCUUGACGGUACCUAGUCAGAAAGCCACGGCUAACUACGUG